rnacentral:lncRNA from 1 species
AACCAUUGCCUGUUUCAGACGCUGACCGGAAAGGAGAUUGAGAUUGACAUUGAACCUACAGACAAGUGGAGCGAAUCAAGGAGCGUGUGGAGGAGAAAGAGGGAAUCCCCCCACAACAGCAGAGGCUCAUCUACAGUGGCAAGCAGAGAAUGAUGAGAAGACAGCAGCUGAUUACAAGAUUUUAGGUGGUUCAGUCCUUCACCUGGUGUUGGCUCUGAGAGGAGGAGGUGGUCUUAGGCA